UUAGGGAGUCCCCGGGGAAUUCAGAUUAGCAUUGUAUGUGGCUAAUGCUGUUGCAAGCAUUGCAAAGCAUUUUGGGGAGGGUUGUUAAAGGUGUGAGAGUGGGAAAUGGAAGCUUUCUUUGCAGGAGUACGAGAGACCAAGGGGGUGGGGGGAGAAAGAAAAAAGCAGAGAACGGGUUAACUUGGCACUUUAGCUAGCUCCGUGUGAAGAUAAGAUGCUGGCCCUGGCCCAAGGUCAUGGGCUCGAUGAGAAAUCUACAAACAAGAAAUCUACAGCUGCCCAGUCAUGAGAAGAGGAGAACUAAGUGAAGCACAGCUGCAAAAAUAGCAGCAAAAACAGAGCGAAUAAGGCAGUGACAGUGAAGGCCAACAGAAGGAAAACCAAAUUUUUCAGAGCCGGUGUGUUUUGGGCAGCCGAGAAGGCCACAGCAAGCUGAUUGGAACUGGUACAAAGAGCAUCAGGCACAGAGGGCCCUGGAUGAUGACACCCCCAAAGAAACCCAGGACUUAAAAACCUCCCGAGAGCUGGAGCAAUUCAGAGAUUACAGCAGAUUCUUGGAUGACUUGGGCCCAGGGUUUCUGGUCAUGGCAUCAUGGGCUUCGGUUGCCUGAACCAUCUGGGUUUCCAGUUGGCCAUGGAAUUCUCGGGAUGAUCAUAAUUAUGAGGACAAAGCAGUAAUAGCAAGAGCCCAGGGACACCCCGAACAGAAGUGGUGGAACUGCUCUUGCUGCUUCAAGCCUGCAAAAUUCAUCAGGGAAAGAACAUCUAUGUAUAAUAACACAUCUCUAUGGAAAUCCUUAAGUCUCCAUUGUUUCUGGCUUCCUUUAUUAAUUUUACCAGUGUCCAAAAUUGGCCCUGGUAAAAGAAAAGGUCAAUUAUCCAGUGGCAGGAGAAAGGGGGGGGGAGGGAAAUUGUGGCUUAGCAUCCUAGAAAGGUGGCAUCAUGUAUUAUCUGGGAUGGGGUGGUCCAUGUGAAAGGUGGCUCCCUCCAAUAACAUGGCUAAGCGGUAUGUGCUGACUACAUCUUCUAUCAGCACAUAUGGAUUGCAAAGGGCAACACUUGGCAGCUGUAGCCUAUGAAGCCCCCUCAAAUGGUGUGUAAAGAAAAGGCAGUGCCAGGCCGCUUUUAUGAGAUAGGUCAACACAACUGGUGGGAAGGAGAGGCAUCGGGAUAUGCUCCCACUAAGGCCCAUGUGUUUACCAAUACCUCUGCGUGUGUUUGGAGGACCACCUACCCCAGGGUGCCUCUCUACUUGUGGUUUAAAAUCACGAACACAAAAUUUUUCAGUGCAUUGGCCCAUUGUUAUGCAACAAACUGUUAAUGUUUCUAACAAUGUUGUGUUUAAUUUUUCAUGGAUAAUGCCUAAUGUGUUUCUCCCAUAGGCACACACCCAAGAGCAACUUUCCGUAUUCCAGACAGAUGCCUCCUUCUCCACGGUGUUAAAACACACAUUUAAUCUGGAGAAAUCUGCCUUUGCCACCGCCAUUCAAAUGGGGCAUCUAUGCCAACAGGGGGAUGUGUUAUGCUAUGUAACUAAUAAAGCCAGAAGUCAUUAGGGGCUAGUGUAUGCAAUUGUUGCUAUUCUAACAAUCUUGUGUAUGCUAUAUUGCUGUUUAUGUAGAAGGCCAAUAGUAACCCUUGCGGCUAUACCAGGGUGAGGAUGGAAACCUAAAUAAUGACACCUCCCAACAAAACGUUGAUUCAGAGUCAAUGGGGGGAGUGUCACACCCCAAUGGUCCCCUCCCUGGGAAAGGCAGAUCAGCAUUGUAUGUGGCUAACGCUGUUGCAAGCAUCGCAAAGCAUUUUGGGGCACAACUCAUCAACUAUCUAGUAUGGUAGUUUAGCCACUGGUUUACCUACAGGAUCACCAAAGGG